UUCCUGGGGCAAACACACCCGGAAAGAGCAGCCUGAGCUCACAGAGGGGCCUUUAGGCAAUGAAAACUUUCUGUGACCAGGACUUUAAAAAUCGUCACAUUCUGUUCUGUUCUGAGGAUUGUAAAAAUCAGAACACAGGGAGUUGGACACAUCAGAACAUAUAAUAUGCACUUCUUUAAUAGACUUCAUGAAUUUUUCUUUUAUUCAACGUAAGGGAACAUAGUCCAAAGAUGACAAAAUUGAAGAAAAUUGCUCGUGGCUACCCAGCUUGAACCUACGUAGUCUGGCUCUAGAACCCAAGGUCUUAUCCCUGUGACUGACAACUGACUACAUGAAGACUAUGGGAAUCUGUCCCAUAGGCUCCUCUUACGUCAGCUCCAUCAAGAACUAUGUCCAUUCCAGUGGAAAUGUCUGGAUCCAUGACAGGUUUUAACUGUAGAUCCAGGUAGUCUUUGUCUAUGGCCUUCACAUGUGUAUACAGGACAAGAAGGACUUUGAUUGUAUGAGGACUUCGAAAUGACAGACAGCAGAAAACAGGAGAUGUGACAAGACUGGCAGCCCCACAGCCAGGUUGGUGGAAGCCCAGUUUAAGGAAGUGCUGCACGGUGUUAAUUAUAAAGAAGAGAAGAAAGCAAGCACUAUUUGAGGAUAUAAAUUUAAUUUGAAGAAAUUGUAGUAGAAGAAACAGUAGUCUGUGUGUUUGAAUUCUCUACAAUCUGCUGAUGGCAUGUGUAUUCUUCUGCUGGUUAUAUGUUAAAUUGGUGGUUGGCACCGGUACCCUGUUGAUUUUCUCACAAGACUACUUCACAGAGAGCCUGAUCUGUGAAGUUGAAAUGCCCUGGGAGAAGAGGCCAAGGGAACCACCUCAAGACUGUCACCGAAAGGGAAUAGCUGUGUGCUGUGAACAUCACCAGCGUUUCCUCCACAGGAGCCAGAAAUGGCUUUUCUCAAAAAGAUUAAGACGAGAUUCAUUUCAAAAAGAGGAAAGAAGAAGAGAUAGAGAGCCAAAUAGCACACCAGAGAAUAAUUUUACGAGAUUAAAGGAGCUGAUUCAUCACUAAAUAUACCAGCUGGUGACGCUGCAGAGUUGAUUUUAGGAGGUCUACUGUUUUCUACUACUGAAGCCUCUGAAAGCUGCAUGAUUUAGAAAUGUAAGAUGAAGGGCUCCUUUAUCUUCUUCCCACUGCAUACUUGAAGUUCUUUACAGAGCAGAAUAUCAUCAAAUUUAAAUGAAGAGAAAACCUCCCAAUUGAUGAGCCAGCUGUUCCCUGCAAUUUUUCCAUCUCUUCAGGCGUCAGACUAAUAUGUCUCUGCAUGAUUUAUUACAUGUGUUUGCAACAAUAGAGUUAUCAUCAGGCUCUCUUCUCUGCCACUCAUCCCUGACUGGUUCUUGGGAUGGUACUUCAGGUGGUGCUCAGCUGGUCAUGGCAGAGAAACUACUUGGUUC